rnacentral:rRNA from 1 species
GCUCAGGACGAACGCUGGCGGCGUGCUUAACACAUGCAAGUCGAACGAUGAAGCCCUUCGGGGUGGAUUAGUGGCGAACGGGUGAGUAACACGUGGGCAAUCUGCCCUGCACUCUGGGACAAGCCCUGGAAACGGGGUCUAAUACCGGAUACUGAUCGCCUUGGGCAUCCUUGGUGAUCGAAAGCUCCGGCGGUGCAGGAUGAGCCCGCGGCCUAUCAGCUUGUUGGUGAGGUAAUGGCUCACCAAGGCGACGACGGGUAGCCGGCCUGAGAGGGCGACCGGCCACACUGGGACUGAGACACGGCCCAGACUCCUACGGGAGGCAGCAGUGGGGAAUAUU